rnacentral:tRNA from 1 species
GGUGAGAUGGCCGAGUUGGUUAUGGCGCCAGGUUAAGGUCGAACCUUGACAACAAUUUCCUGGUGGAGCAAUCCUCCUGGGUUCGAGUCCCAGUCUCAUCA